GGGGGUUCCAAAAGCAAUAAUAUUUCAGUUUUUACCUUACCAUGCCAACACAACAGACGGAGACGUCCAUAACACCAGUGGUGAUGGGCGAACUGGAAACCAAAUGACAACAGUCUGGGUCUGCAGCUGCUAUUUUCCGUUGGGAAAGAGAAAUGGCCCUAUUUUUACGAGAAAAGGUAGCUCAUCCACCAUGGCAGAAGAGGAAGAUCCAGACUGUUGAUUGGGAAACAAGAAGAAACUUUGAGGCAUGUUGAGGGACCACUUGCCACGUUGUCCGAGUGCAUUCCUCAGACUAUCCGGUGCAUGGAUAUCCUGUGCCAGUGUGAUGACAUCCUGUACCAGUAUGAUCUGAGUGCAAGCAUCCAGUUGUAGAGACUACAGCAGAUCGAGCCUGUGGAC